GACUCUCGGCAACGGAUAUCUCGGCUCUCGCAUCGAUGAAGAACGUAGCGAAAUGCGAUACCUGGUGUGAAUUGCAGAAACCCGCGAACCAUCGAGUCUUUGAACGCAAGUUGCGCCCGAGGCCACUCGGCCGAGGGCACGCCUGCCUGGGCGUCA
rnacentral:rRNA from 2 species